UGCAUGUACUGCAUCUUCACCUGGAAAGAGUAGGUGACCACAACUGCAAUGAACCACACUGUGGCGCUGACACACCUGGCUGCUCCUGUGGUCCUCCAUCGAUGGAGAGUGCUGGACACGUGGACGACAGCAAGAGAGACCCACACAGCGUAGAAGUCUUGGUACAGCUGCACAUCCAGGUGGGCUAACCUGUGCAAGUGCGGUGUACCCCACCGCUGGUCCCAGGCGGUGCAGUUAGUUGCGUCUGGAGUGAGGAGGGGCUCAGUGGAGGGAGUGGAGCUGAUGUUGGCAGGAAGACUCUCCAUUGGUUGAAAAGGAUGAAUGAAUAGUGGGUUGGCUACUGAAUGGCAGAAGUGAAACCGAGAGUCUCCCUCUGAAUAUCUGAAAAAGUGAUUUGGAAAAGAUGGUGAUUGGAAAGGAAGGACGAGGAAGGGAAGGAGAAGAACAGAACGUAAUGGCUCAGCAAAACAAGAUUUGGGCCCGAUAGCAUGAAUCACAGACAUGAUGAGGCAAAAGCAAAGCUUAUUUGGCCAUUGAGGCAGACGAAACGGGCAACCAGUCUUAUGCCCCAUAAGACAGAGGGCUGAGUGUCCAAAGAGGCAGGGAGGGGUCAAACACAGCAGGCUGGGGAAAGGGCUAGAUCAACUGGAUGGCUCAAUAAACGAUCUGUGAUGGAAUCGAGAAAAAUCAGCAGGUAUAUCAGGAUAGGAUAUAUCCACUGAAGGCAGCUGGUUGAAUUGGGAAUAACAUGAUCUGAAAUGAGAGUAGUGAGUAAGUGACAGGCAGGCAAAAUAGGCAAAGGAAAAAUGUGCAAAAAAGAAGAGCUGGCUGAUGCUACGACACAGAAAAACUAUGUUGUUUUUGUGAGACAAAAGAAAAGAGUGGCUGGAAUGGACUAUUUUAUUCAAGUUGGCUUUAAUAAAGUUUAUUUAAAGCUGCCUCUGGGGUGGUCCAACACUGGAAGGGUCUCUUUUUGUUUUAGUGCUAA